AGUGAACGCUGGCGGUAGGCCUAACACAUGCAAGUCGAACGGCAGCACAGUAAGAGCUUGCUCUUACGGGUAGCGAGUGGCGGACGGGUGAGGAAUACAUCGGAAUCUACUUUUUCGUGGGGGAUAACGUAGGGAAACUUACGCUAAUACCGCAUACGACCUACGGGUGAAGGCAGGGGAUCUUCGGACCUUGCGCGAUUGAAUGAGCCGAUGUCGGAUUAGCUAGUUGGCGGGGUAAAGGCCCACCAAGGCGACGAUCCGUAGCUGGUCUGAGAGGAUGAUCAGCCACACUGGAACUGAGACACGGUCCAGACUCCUACGGGAGGCAGCAGUGGGGAAUAUUGGACAAUGGGCGCAAGCCUGAUCCAGCCAUACCGCGUGGGUGAAGAAGGCCUUCGGGUUGUAAAGCCCUUUUGUUGGGAAAGAAAAGCAGCAGGUUAAUACCCCGCUGUUCUGACGGUACCCAAAGAAUAAGCACCGGCUAACUUCGUG
rnacentral:rRNA from 1 species